rnacentral:rRNA from 1 species
GACGGAGGAUGCAAGCGUUAUCCGGAUUCACUGGGUUUAAAGGGUGCGUAGGUGGGCAGGUAAGUCAGUGGUGAAAUCUCCGGGCUUAACCCGGAAACUGCCGUUGAUACUAUUUGUCUUGAAUAUUGUGGAGGUAAGCGGAAUAUGUCAUGUAGCGGUGAAAUGCUUAGAUAUGACAUAGAACACCAAUUGCGAAGGCAGCUUACUACACAACGAUUGACGCUGAGGCACGAAAGCGUGGGGAUCAAACAGG